rnacentral:rRNA from 1 species
UGGGGAAUAUUGCACAAUGGGCGAAAGCCUGAUGCAGCAACGCCGCGUGAGUGAUGAAGGCCUUCGGGUUGUAAAGCUCUGUCUUUUGGGACGAUAAUGACGGUACCAAAGGAGGAAGCCACGGCUAACUACGUGCCAGCAGCCGCGGUAAUACGUAGGUGGCAAGCGUUGUCCGGAUUUACUGGGCGUAAAGGAUGCGUAGGCGGAUUUUUAAGUGAGAUGUGAAAUACCCGGGCUUAACUUGGGUGCUGCAUUUCAAACUGGGAAUCUAGAGUGCGGGAGAGGAGAAUGGAAUUCCUAGUGUAGCGGUGAAAUGCGUAGAGAUUAGGAAGAACACCAGUGGCGAAGGCGAUUCUCUGGACCGUAACUGACGCUGAGGCAUGAAAGCGUGGGUAGCAAACAGGAUUAGAUACCCUGGUAGUCCACGCCGUAAACGAUGAGUACUAGGUGUAGGAGGUAUCGACCCCUUCUGUGCCGCAGUUAACACAAUCAAGUACUCCGCCUGGGAAGUACGAUCGCAAGAUUAAAACUUAAAUGAAUUGACGGGGUCAUAGC